CCGGAUAACAUAUCGAACCGCAUGGUUCGAUAGUGAAAGACGGUCUUGCUGUCACUUAUAGAUGGACCCGCGCCGUAUUAGCUAGUUGGUGAGGUAACGGCUCACCAAGGCGACGAUACGUAGCCGACCUGAGAGGGUGAUCGGCCACACUGGAACUGAGACACGGUCCAGACUCCUACGGGAGGCAGCAGUAGGGAAUCUUCCGCAAUGGGCGAAAGCCUGA
rnacentral:rRNA from 1 species